rnacentral:lncRNA from 1 species
GAAACAUAAACAAACAAACAGUUGAGGAAUUAGCACACACUUUUCUCCUUAACAUUAACAUCCAAGUAUAAAGAGUAAUUAAUAAACUAUUAGUAAAAGGGACCAACUCAAGCUUGACCGUAGCCGUGGUGGAUUGAGAAAGAACAUGUCUGAUAUAUCUAAAGAGAAAUAUUAUCCUCCAUACCAUCUAACAAUGAUCCCAAGAAAAAGAGGAAAAGAAAAAAAAAACAAGGAUUACUAACCCAAGAGGAACUACACUUUGCAACCAAAGGUGAGUACAUCCCAAACCAGUAGUUGGAAUGACGUCAGAGAUGGAGACAGUUCCAUAUAAUUUAGAGCUCUUGUGGCAAAUCAUUACAGUAGUAGAUCUGCAUUUCAAUAUCCAGCAAGAUCAUUCAGAAAUAACAUAAAGAAUGGAUUGAACCAAAUGUACAAUUUAUCUGUAUAAAGCGAAAUUACAAAGGUAAAAAAAUAAAAUAAGAAGAAGCAAAGAAUCAAUCCUAACAAAGGGACCAUAUAUGUCAUGAGUUGUGCGUGAAACGUCUUCUGCAGCUCAGGAAUAUUGUAUAGUUUUCCAAUCAACAUUUACUCAGAACUCGGAAGGGUACUUUUUUUUUAGAACAAGCAAUUUGGGAAGAUUAACAUCGAUCUGAAUAGGACAAUUAAUGACAUCAAAGCAACAGUGUGAUACUGGGCAGGUGACACUUGCAGAAUAGGAAUUAUCACUUUGUUUCUGUUAUUUGUAAUUGGGGAAUGAUCAUAACCCCUUAGGUCCCUUUUACAAUGUUGUUUGUACAGAGUAACUCUGAGUAAUGGUGUACAUGUAAAUAGGCGUCUUAGUAAGAAUUUAUAUAAGUUAUAAUGCAGCAAAUGUAUUAGUCACUACCAAUAGUAAGAUAAAAAUAUGAUAUUAAAGGCAAAUUCUCUAUUUCUAGUGCUUAUCAGACUUUCAGAAAGCAAAACGCAGCCUACCCCCACUAAAUCGUCUAUUUCCGUAUAAACUGGUCUGGACGAAACCAUUAUAGUCCUUGAUUCGUUUGAAAAUGAAUCAAAGUUCGCAUGGGGCAAUUUUCAGGUACCAACAUAACAAUUGAACAAGUCAACGAUGAUGACACUGAAUUUAGACUGAACACUCAAGAAUAGCAAAACAGACAGCUUUUUCUUUAUUUACCAUGUAACAUUGUUAUACAUCAGAGAGGAAUGGUAUUGAAAAGGUACCUGUUAUCAAGCUAACACAAUCCUUGCAAGUCUUUUGCUAUAUUGGUUACACGCUAUCAAGUUUUCUUCUCUCUACGCCAUAUAAAUCAUUUAUAAAUUCACAUGUGUCCAUAAAAUUACCUUGGAAAGUGCACAUUUGAAACAAACAGAGAACGUAUUGGGACUGGUACUUCAAUUGUUUCAUUUAUACUAUUAUAAUCUAUGGCUUUCACUGUCCAUUAACAUUAUAGGUGUGGUCUGAGUUGUUAAAGCCUAGGUAGAGGUGUUAUGCUCUUGUUUUGACUGUAGAUACUGUUGAGGAUCGAGCUUCUAAUAGCAUGGCCAGAAGGUAAGGGUAUACAUCUAGGGAGAAAGGUAUGGGCUAUCCUUCCUUAUGCUAUAAUCUAGACACUCUGUCGAGUUCGUAAUAAAAGGAUUUUUAGGGAUAGAAUGUCAUCUAUUGAAAGAAUUUCAGUGGAAUUAAAGACUACAUGUUGGUAUUGGGUUGGAUAUUGGCCUGUGAGGCGACUGUUUUACUUUAAGGACAUGAUUUGCGAUGGUUUGAGCUGCUGAAUGGGAUGUUGAUCAGAAGUGCAUUAGAUCAACAACAACAACUACACUGACUGACUCAAAGUUCUUGGUUAUUUUUUCCAUUUGCUUUACUAGAAUAUGUAACAGGGGUUCAAACCUGACGAUGCUUUAUUCAUUUUGAUCAGGUUGUUAUUCUUUAUUUAUUAAUAAAAAUCUUCUUAUAAAAAAAAUGCAGAACUUGAUGUGUAGACAAAAACAAGCUAUUACACAAUUCAAAUGUACCAACAUCAUCAGUAAAAAAAAAAAUACAUAAUACAUGACUUCAAAUAAAGGCAUCAAUUCCACAAUCAAUCAUUGGAGAUCGAGUAUUGGGUUCAAGAAUCGUUGGCAACAACACUGGCGCUUAAGGAGUUUCACUCAUGCUGGUAUCGUUAAUUAGCGCAGAACACCUGGGAUUUUAUUAUUGUGCCUUGGGAUAGACAUAAUGAAUUUAUACAGUAUAGUGGGAAAUUAGAUAUGUCUAAUUAGGUGGGUUUUUUUUGCAGGAGAAGAGCCUAAGAUGUGAACACACGGUGAAUUGCUUUUUCUUUGAUAAAAAAUAACUUUACCUCCUUUAAUUGAAACAAAGUACCUAUACCUCACUUAUAACAUUUUAAACACAGUAACAAACUACCUCUUCUAAGGAUAUACAGAAAAAUAUGUUAAAGGUUGCAUACUUCUAAGGCCAGUAAUAUACAUGUGGGGGCUUGUGUUAUGAAGGAAUCUUUAUAAAACAAGCAAGUUGAAGACCUGAAUAUGGAAGUGAUGAAGAUAUAAAUUUAACAACUUCAAAUCAUCAGUCAAACAAAACAAUCAAUCCCAACAAAAUACCCCUCAAUUUCACAAUCAAUCUCAUAAGAAUCGAUUUUUAGAAGAAAAAAUAAUUUACACAUGCACUAACUUCGCACCAAUCUAAUAAAAUAAUUUAUCACUAAUUAUCCAUUAUCGAUUACAAGCAUCGAUUUCUAGAAUAAAAAACAAAAGGAGAGUAUAUUAUCAAUCUUACCAGCAUCGAUUUCUAGAAUAAAAAACAAAAGGAGAGUAUAUGAGAGAGAGAGAAAGAGCUUAUUACCAAAAUCAAAAAAUUCCGACGAAAUUGAUCGAGUAGCAGUGUAAGGAAAGAGAAAGAAGAGCAGCGGACGAAGGUGGGAAGGAGAGAAGUAGAGAGAUGAAUACCAAAAAAGGGUUUUAAUUGAAGUGAAGAGAACUAUCCCGAGAUUAGUUCUCAACUGAAUCCAAAUGCAACGCCUCAUGUGCUAAAAGCAUGCCAAGUUAGAUCU